AGUAACUCCACCCCCAACAGUUGUUUAGCCAAAACAUUUUUUAAAGGAAAAACAGCAGCAUUGCCAGACAAGUAUUGGGGUUUGAUUUUCACUGGCAGUUCCACACACAGAUUAAUUUCCUAGUCCUUAGAGGAACUCUGGGAUCACAGUUUCCUUCUUUCCCAUAUAAGUUUGAUUUACAUCAGCAGGUGGCAGGGUUCCUCCACCCCAUCCCUGUGUGGCCUCUGCCCCAGCACCCAGGCAUGCUCCAGCCCAGGAGCAGAGGGAGCCUGCGGCACCCUGAGGAGCGAGGCAUGGCAUGAGAGAGCCCUCCUGGCUGCAGGGCCUCAGGGCUGGCUUGUGAGCAUGGCCCCGACGUGCCUGCAGCCCCUGCUGAGGUACCGCUUCUUCGCCAUCCUCUUCCUCACGCCGCUGCUGCUGCUGCCGCUGCCCUUCGUCGUGCCCACGAAGGUAGGUGAAGAGAGCCCGGCUCCGGGCCUGCUGCCCCCGGGUGACCCCACUCCGCCCGGCUCCGGGCCCUCCCGGCGGCACCCAACCCACCGUGACAAUUAGAGGCAAUUCAUUCUGGGCCAGGACAAGCCCAGGCGUAGCUGGCCGGCAUUGGGAUUAUGUCCUAGCGAGGGGAGUCGGCGGAAGGGCAGGAGUGCUUCCCCCAGCUCUCUGCUGAGGGUCUGGUACUCCUAGCACGUUGCUUGGUGACAUUCUCCAUCCUGAUGCUGUCAGCGUUGUGCUGUGCGAAUUGGUCGGGAUUUCAAAUGCCAUGUCUUCCAAUUCAUCCAUCUUACUCCAGGGAUGGCGAAGGCACAACUCCUUUGCGUUCAGUGGAGUUACACCAGCGUAAAAUUGGGAUAACCCAGGAAAGUUUGAGCUUUUAAUGCCUUGUAGCCUUCUUGAUCAAGUGUGAAAGCUGAGUUUGCAGUGUUUUAGCCUACUAGAGCUUUGGAGGCUAUUCUAAUGCCAAAGCCAGCCCUUCUUUUGAGCAACUGGUAUCGCUCAAUCUGUUUUAAAGUGCGGGAAAAUUUUAUCUGUCUUUAUAAACCAAAUUGCCAACCUUUCUUGUUUACCUGUCUAAGUUAUACCGGCCUGGCCUUUCGGUUGAAUGGUGGUGCUUUAUACAAUGAGGAAUUCCUGACUGUUAAGCUCUACUUUGAUCAAAACUAGGAAAGAUAAUUUCCAAAAAAAUUAAGUAUGUCUUCAGUUUGCCAAUAUUUGUAGGCAUAUUUUGUCAUUAGUCUAACCUAAGAAAUUACAGUGUUUCGCAAUGGAAAGGCAAUAUUUCUGUCAGUGACUGCUUUUUCAUCUCUCAGCCAGGAGUCAGGCCACUGUGUUUUGUGUCAACCACACAGAAACACCAAAGAGACAUUCUGUGACUGUUUCCAUAAAUAUAUACAUUUAAUGCCAUAAAUAUAUAUGUAUUUAUACCUAUAAAUAUGUAGGUAUAAAUACAAAUAUAUAUUUAAUUCCAAAUCUUUUGUUGUUUGAAUUGGCCACAGUUGCUGGAGUUAAAUUAUAAGCAAGGCUCACAUAAAUUAUUGACUCUCUACUCUCUAAA
rnacentral:lncRNA from 1 species